GACGAACGCUGGCGGCGUGCUUAACACAUGCAAGUCGAACGGAAAGGCACUUUUGGGGGUCCUCGAGUGGCGAACGGGUGAGUAACACGUGAGUAACCUGCCCUUUCCUUCGGGAUAACUUCAGGAACCUGGGGCAACUACCGGUUAGGAAUCAUUGCAGCUUGGUGGGGGUUGGAAAGAUCUUGCGGUGUUGGGUGGAUUGGCGGCCUAUCGGCUUGUUGGUGGGGUAGUGGCUUACCGAGGCUAUGACGCGUAGCCGGCCUGUGAGGGCGAGCGGCGACAUUGAGACUGAGGGACGGCCCAGGCGGCGACGGGAGGCAGCAGGGGGGAAGAUUGCACAAGGGGCGGAAGCCGGAUGCAGCAGGGCCGCGGGCGGGAUAGCGGCCUUCGUGUUGAAGACCGCUUGCAGGAGAAGCGAAGCUUGUGGUGACGGUACCUGCAGAAGAAGCACCGGCUAACUACGUG
rnacentral:rRNA from 1 species